CUGGAAUGAGUAGUUCAGUUGUAAAUAAAGAGCUGUGUACAUUUAGUUUGAUUGAACCCCAUUUCAAGUGAAGGAAAUUUACUGCUGUCUGUUAUCUGAUGGUCUUCUUGGAAGGAGUGAUAUAAAUGCCAUUCAAAACUCUACUCCAUAUCUUCAGGAGCAAUUCUGUCAGAGAGGAAAAGGAAUGAAUGGGAUGCUUUGAGCACUACAAGAUUUUGCAGUUCUACAAAUAUGUAUCAACCAUUAUUUCCAGAGUGACACUGCUUGCCUUGAGAAAUAAUAAAUUAUGAGAUGAGCAGGACAGCACUUUUAAGAAGGACCUUCCCAAGGGAGUGCCGUCUUUGCUAAGCACUCUGAACUGCUUGCUGUAAAUUACACACCUGGAGUACUGUUCCACUCUGAUAAGCUCUGCCCUCUCCCCUUCUCAGCUUUGUGGAAGAGGUACAGGCAACGGACAAUAAAGCACUUGGCGCCUCUCAGAAAUGAGACCUCAGAAGAUAAAGAAAAAGCAUAUAUAUGCUUAAAAUGCACAUUGAUUGUCAAAGGUUCUUUAAAGCUACAUACAUCUCUAUUAAAAACAACUAAUGCCUGGACUACGGUAGAGCAUGGAGGCCAUCGUAUCUUUAAUCCAACUGAACGAUUGCAAGUGAUGCUUAUUAUUCGGCAGAUCUUGAUUUGCAAUGCACUGAGCCAUCUAUCUUUUGCUGCAGCUACAAGAAUAACGUGCUAUGGAAUCUAUCACAGCCCAACAAUUCCACAAUUGAUUUGCUGGCAGCUGAGCCCUGGGGCUUGGAAUGUAAAUAAGACUCAGAAUAAAAGUGACGUGCACUGCAGCAGUUGACAGUGAGUGCAGUUUCUCCAUCAAUACAGCGAGAAGCUUUCUUGUGCCACUCUAAGAGAAAAGGAAAAAAAAAUGAAGGAAGAAAAGAAAGAAGGGACUAUUUCACUAUUUCUUCUUAAAUGUCUUAUUACUCACCAACUCCCUCGUGCAAGAAAUGAAAGUAAAAUGUUAUUUACAAAUUGCAGCUAGAAAUUGUCUAAAAGUAGCCACUCUAGCUACACUGCACAAUAACUCACGUCUCACAUUUCUCAGUGUUUUCCUGGGUGUAUACUAAAACUUAGGCAUCAGUGUCUGAUCUCAUACUUACAGACAUACCUGUCUGUGAAACAAAAUGGUUAAGAAUACCAGUUUCGUUUCACAAAUAGAAGAAACAAGUAAAGUUUAAAAUUAUUUCUGCAUUCGAUGGCACUGUUGCCGUCUGACGUCUCGAUCUAUAGUCUGAUGUCGUCUACUGUCUACUGGUUAGAUGGUGAUGCUCAACAUUUUUGCCUCAAAUACUGGUGCUGUUUUAUGGUCUUUUAAUUUAGAUUUUGAUUUAUGAAUUAUGAACAGGGCUCAUCUCUUUUCACAUCUCUCUGUUCUUCAUUAUAUCACACAGUGCUUCACUGCAUAUAUUUC
ensembl:lncRNA